GCGGCUCGGGUUACUUCGCUGGCUGCUCCUAAGCUCCCGGCUCGCCGCCAUCUUGUAUUGGGGCUUCAUUGUUCGCGCUGCGCCCGGCCGUUUAGUAUAAUUGCCGCGGAAGGAGGAGGCGGAGUAACCGCCGGUCAGCCGAGAAACCCCGCUAUUCCGCAGUCAUAGCCGCUCAUAAGAUUUGGGAGGUAGUAAAGGGUAGGGAGCUGGACCCCGAGGCGCCGGCGCGACAGCAGCAGCCAUGGAGGACGAGAUGCCCAAGACUCUAUAUGUCGGCAACCUUUCCAGAGAUGUGACAGAAGCUCUAAUUCUCCAGCUCUUUAGCCAGAUUGGACCUUGUAAAAACUG